UACGUAGGGGGCUAGCGUUGUCCGGAAUUAUUGGGCGUAAAGAGCGUGUAGGCGGUCCGGUAAGUCGGCUGUGAAAGUCCAGGGCUCAACCCUGGGAUGCCGGUCGAUACUGCCGGACUAGAGUUCGGAAGAGGCGAGUGGAAUUCCCGGUGUAGCGGUGUAAUGCGCAGAUAUCAGGAAGAACACCAACGGCGAAGGCAGCUCGCUGGGACGGUACUGACGCUGAGACGCGAAAGCGUGGGGAGCGAACAGG
rnacentral:rRNA from 1 species